rnacentral:rRNA from 1 species
ACCGCCGCUGCUAAAGCGGAGGAAGGAAUGGGCACGGUAGGUCAGUAUGCCCCGAAUAUCCCGGGCUACACGCGAGCUACAAUGGUUGGUACAAUGGGUAUCUACCCCGAAAGGGGACGGGAAUCUCCUAAAACCAAUCUUAGUUCGGAUUGAGGGCUGCAACUCGCCCUCAUGAAGCUGGAAUCCGUAGUAAUCGCGUUUCAACAGAACGCGGUGAAUACGUCCCUGCUCCUU